rnacentral:lncRNA from 1 species
UAAGCAUUUUUGGCGCGAAACAUUCCGUAAAUGUAUUUGAAUAUAUAUUUUUUAAAUUGUUCUAUCAGAAUUCAAAACGUUAAUCAGAAUUGCUUACAACCGAAGUUAAAACCGAUAUUAAAAUGUUCUAUGUGCUAAAUUAAAAAAAUAAUUAGUAUUAUAAUGUUCUAACAGUGGAGCCAAUCAGAUUUCAAAGUCAACUGCUGAGAGAACAAUAUAAUAUUAUUUUGCACUAGUCAACAUCGAGCUUUGUUUUGUAAAACCGUGUGCUGUUUUUUUACGGUUUAGUGCUGUUUUUUAACCACUUUGAAAAAAAUGGACUUCGACAUGGAGGCAUCAACAUCAGGAAUGAAUCCACGUAAAAGAAUGGAGUAUAUAGACAAUAGUGAUGAUUCGCAUCUUGAUCUAGAUUUUAUCCCAUCUGACGAAAGCCUGGAAGGAAUGAGAGGUUUUAUGUCUAACGUUACACAGGAAAAUGACACACCUUUGCAAAGCAACUCUGAAGCACCCGAAGAAACCAAUCAGCAAAAUUCCGCUAUUUCUGAUGAAAAUAAAUCUACCAGAAAACGAAAACGAAAACUUGAGAUGUGGAAAAUGAAUAUUAAUAAAGUUUUGUGCCAAAGAGAAAAGAAACAUAGAGAUCUAAAAGGUAACAUCCGCAAGGGAAAAAAUUUAAAAACUUUAAAAAAUUGUGAGAACAAUUGCAAAUUUCUGUGUGGCAAGAAGAUAAGUUUACCUAAACGAGAAACCAUAUUUCAAAAAUUUUGGGGAAUAAUCCAAUGACGCUAAAUGGCACUUUUACGCAAAAAAUACCGAAAGAAUAAACAAAAUACGAAAGCAAACUUUACGAGAAGUAUCACGUAGAAGUUAUUCAUUUAAAUAUUAUUUUCACAUAGCAGAUGAAAAAAUUCGCGUAUGCAAGGCAUUUUUUUUGACGACACUGGGCAUAAGUCAACAAAGAAUCAAUUAUUUUCAUGAGAAAAAAAGAAAACCUUACAGGAAUUCCUUUACCAUCUCGUCUAGGUUGUCAUCCCAAGAAAACUAUUAGUAGUACAAGCAAAGACUACGUUCGACUUCACAUUAGUCAACUUCCGAGAGUAGAAUCUCAUUAUUGUCGAGCUGAUACAUAAAAGAAAUAUUUAGAAGGAAACCUAGGUAUUAAUAAGUUAUAUUCUUUGUACACUGAAUUUUGCAAUGAAAAGCAAAUUGAACCUGUUACAAAGGUUGUUUACAGAAAUAUUUUCUACUAUGAAUACAACAUUGAUUUUUUAAAGCCAAAAAAGGAUCGUUGUGAUGUGUGCGAUGAGUACCGAAUAAAACAAAAAUAUGGUAUGACUGAUGAAGAAAAACAAAGAUUUGAAAAUCAUUUACAAGGAAAAACCCCAGCGAAAAUUGAACGCAAUUUGGAUAGAUCCAACCAAGAUCAAAUCACUGCUAUCAUAUGUUUUGACCUAGAGAACGUUUUUGCACUACCGCGUUUUAAUAUAUCCAGUUUUUUGCAUAUAUUAGAACGUUAUAGCAGAAAACUCAACACCUACAACCUUACUGCACACUGUAAUUUACGCAAACAAGCGUACUGUUGUAUUUGGAGCGAAGGAACACAUGGGAGGAAGGGAAGUGAUAUUGCUUCGGGAUUAAUUAAAAUUUUAGAACGCGUUGUAGCAGCUUACCCGCAUAUUUCAAAAAUCGUUUUGUGGUUUGACUGCGUACCUCAUGUACCUCAAAACAAAAACUCUAUUAUCAGUUUGGCUUUGAUGAAGUUCCUAGAAAAACAUCCCUCUGUUAACGAAAUAGCACAGAAUUUUGGAGAACCGGGACAUAGCAGUGUCCAGGAAGUCGAUAAUUUGCAUAGCCAAAUCGAAAGAAAACUGUCUGGUGCAGAAAUAUUUAGCCCUUUGGGAUUACUUCGACUUCUUCCUUCAGUGAAUCACAAACGACCUUUUGUAGUAUUUCAUAUGAAAGCACAAGAUUAUGUUCUAUAUAAAGAAACUUCACAGGCGCUAAACUUUAAAAAAGUUCCUUAGACUUCAGUACGGCAAUUAAAAUAUGAGGGACUCUAUCCAAACAAAAUUAGUUACAAGCUUAAGCACAGUGACGACUCUUUUACCGAAGUUCCUAUUAUAGACACAGAUUAGUACUAUUAGGACCAAAAUAAAUACUUCAUAUAAUCUGCCUGAAGUACGAUGUGCACCAGAGCCAAAAAAUUGCCUCUUACCGUUUGCCAUUGUAGCUGAUCUAACAAGAUUAUUUAAAUUUAUGCCCCCUGUUGAUGUAACGUUUAUGAAAUGUUUGUUUGAAGAAUACAAUAACCCGUCAGUUUUUAAAAAUGAAAAAAUAAAGUUAAACAAAAAUGAAUAAAAUGUUAUGUAUCUUGGUAGUGUUUCAAACAUAUA